UUAAAACAGUGGUUCCCAUAUGAUCACUGAAUUUAAGCAAUGUUGAGCCUGGUCAGUAUGUAGAUGAGUGACCACUUGGGAAUACCAGGUGCUGUAA